rnacentral:rRNA from 1 species
GUCCACGCCCUAAACGAUGUCGACUGGUUGUUGGUGGGGUUAAACCCAUUAGUAACGAAGCUAACGCGUGAAGUCGACCGCCUGGGGAGUACGGCCGCAAGGUUAAAACUCAAAGGAAUUGACGGGGACCCGCACAAGCGGUGGAUGAUGUGGAUUAAUUCGAUGCAACGCGAAGAACCUUACCUACCCUUGACAUGCCAGGGAGCUCGCUGAGAGGCGAGUGUGCCCGAAAGGGAGCCUGGACACAGGUGCUGCAUGGCUGUCGU